ensembl:lncRNA
AUAUCAGUCAGCUUGUGGUGUGGACAGAUGUCAGCUCAUAUCUUUAUCCCUGUGUAUAUGUCUACAUAAUACUGAAAAUACACUAACAGAAGCCUGGAAAAGAUCUUACCAGAGAGACCUGGACAGACUUGUGCAGUGGGCCCAGGUGAAGUUUAUGAGGUUCAAAAAAGCCAAGUGCAAUGUAUUGCAGCUGGGUCAUGGCAACCUCCACUAUCAGUACAUGUUGGGAGAUGAAAGGAUAGAGCACAGCCCUACCUAAAAGGACUUGGAGGUAAUGGUGGGUGGCAAGAUGGACAUGAGCCAGCAAGAUACCCUCUCAGACUGGAAAGCCAACUGUAUGCAGGGCUG